rnacentral:lncRNA from 1 species
GUCUGGGUGUGCUCAGUAUCACCUCUUUCCCUUGAAGCGUGGGGCCAGUGGAGCCUUGUGCUCGCUGUGUGCUGAGCUCUGGGCCCCCUCUUUGGGCCCAGCUGUACUCGGCCCCCCCCAAACACUGAGCUCCCAUAGCUCUGAAGGACGCAGCGUGCAGUCCGCUCUGCGGCUGCCAUGGCAACGGUGGGAUGCAAAACCUCUGCUUAAAACCCCAAACAAACAAACCCUCCCCUCCACCAGACCCAAAGCACCCUGCUUUCCCCAUUUUCUUCUUCUGGGGCCAGAUGAAGACAUAUUAGGAUUUAUUUUCCACUAAGGGAGAUAGAUGAUAGAACCCCAGAACGGCUUGGGUCGCAAGGAACCUCAAAGACCAGCCAGUUCUGACCCUGCAGAGCUGGGGCCUGGGGUAAAAGAGGCAAAAUUUCCCCCCUCUUGGGAACCACCCGCAAGGGGUGACAGAAACCCCAGAGAUUCAUAGGGAUGAGAAGCACGGAGUGUCCAUAGAAAUGACACAGUGGGGCACCUCAGCCCAUUUCCUAUAGGAAACGCAUUGGCAGAAAUGCCGGAGGAUCUGUAAGAUUUAAUUAAGUAUAUCUGAGUACCUUGAAACCUGAGUCAGUGAAGUGAAUGCAGAGAGCUUGCAUUUAAUGGAGAGCAAUUUGGAAGAGAAGGCAACGUGACACCAAAGACAGCACCGGGGCCACAGCACUGCGGUGAGGGGCAGCUUCAGCCAUAAGGGACUGCUGUGAAGGACCAUCCCAGGCAUGAGAUGGAAUCACAGAAUCAUUGGAGCUAGAAAAGACCUCUGAGGUCAUGAAGUCAACCCAUCCCCACCAUGGACGUGGUCCAAACCCUUCUGCAGCAAUGCUUGGGACUGCUCUGCUCCGAAGCCCCCUUGUGCUGAGGAGUACACAGAGCUUGGGAGGGAAUCAAGAGCAGAAAGUGUCUAAACAAGCCCGAACAGAUUGGGAACUCAAAUCUCGAGAACUGUGAUUUUGUAUUGCUCAGACUCUUCUUUGACGCUCCCAAUGGUUGCAUUUCGGAUCUGCAUCUCUUCUUUCCCCAGAAAACCCCGAAAGGAGAGAACUGUACCCACACGGUCAGGAUGCCCCUCAGCCCUUCCCCUGGGAUCUGCGGAGGCACCAACGCAGCACAGUAAUUAACAACUAAUAAUCACAGACCACUGGCAAAGGAAGAGACAUAAAAAGUGG